rnacentral:lncRNA from 1 species
UGACAAAUGAUAACACUAGUCAUUCUACCAGUUGACAGAGGUGCUGACAACUGAUAACACUAGUCAUUCUACCAGUUGACAGAGGUACUGAGACAACUGAUAACACUAUCAUUCUACCAGUUGACAGAGGUACUGAGACAACUGACAAAUGAUAACACUAGUCAUUCUACCAGUUGACAGAGGUACUGAGACAGCUGACAAAUGAUAACACUAGUCAUUCUACCAGUUGACAGAGGUACUGAGACAGCUGACAAAUGAUAACAUUAUCAUUCUACCAGCUGUGAACUAGUGUAAGUUGGUAAACUGUAAUUAUUAUAAUUUUAUUAUCUAAGUCAUUACACAUCAUAAUUAGGUUUAUAAUACAUUAAUAUAAGAUUAUGUUAUUAUUAUUUUACUUGAAUUAAGUACUCAUCAUUCAGAAUAACUUGCGAACCACUCUCUAACCACUGAUAGUUUUGUCUCACAGAAAUCGUAGUUUUAACAGAAGUUAAUGUGUAGGUUUUAUUCUCAAUGUUAUUUGACAUUGUAAACAUGUUAAACUGUUCACCAUGCAUUAAGGAAAUAGACAACUCUGAUUUGUUUUGUGAUACUGCAGUCCAGAAGAAGCUGGUCGAUAUGUUGAGACGUACAAAGUGUUUGAAAAUAAAUCUGCUGAAUUCAUCAUGGAGAAGCAGGAUGAUGACUUAUAUUCUCAGGUAAACACAGAUACAACUUUCAGGAUGAUGACUUAUAUUCUCAGGUAAACAUAGAAACAACUUUCAGGAAGCUGACCUGUAUUCUAAGGUAAACACAGAUACUACUUUCAGGAAGUAGACCUAUAUUCUAAGGUAAACACAGAUACAGCUUUCACGAUGAUGACUUAUGUUCUAAGGUAAACACAGAUACAACUUUCAGGAUGAUGACUUAUGUUCUAAUGUAAACACAGAUACAACUUUCAGGAUGAUGACUGUAUUCUAAGGUAAACACAGAUACAACUUUCAGGAAGCUGACUUGUAUUCUAAGGUAAACACAGAUACAACUUUCAGGAAGUUGACCUAUAUUCUCAGGUAAACACAGAUACAACUUUCAGGAAGCUGACCUGUAUUCUAAGGUAAACAUAGAUACAACUUUCAGGAAGCUGACCUGUAUUCUAAGGUAAACACAGAUACAACUUUCAGGAAGCUGACCUGUAUUCUAAGGUAAACACAGAUACAACUUUCAGGAAGCUGACCUGUAUUCUCAGGUAAACACAGAUACAACUUUCAGGAUGAUUGAACACAUUGUGCCACAUGGUCCAAGACACGUAACGUCCAGGUAAGUAGAUAUUUAACGAGAAGAAUGAUAGGGAAGUGCAUGUUGGGAGAUAUAAAUAUAUAGUUUUUUCAUUUAAAAUGAGCUUAGCCGUUCCUUAACUAUCCAAAUAAUGUUAUAAUUUUCAUAAUGAUACUAGUAUUUUAUGCAGUGGAGUAAGAAACUUAAAACGAUUAGUACACGUGUCUGGUUUCCUCAAUAUGAUUUGUCUGUUGACCAGAUUUUUCUCUACCCCAGGAGUUUAAAACCUAUUCACAUAAAGAAUCCUUACAUAGUGGAUAAGUUCACUACCCUGAGGAUCCUAUUUGUUAAAGAAAGACUUUUUCUACAGAAAUGUGUUGAUGCAAGUUAAAAAACCUGAGAUGAUAAUAUAAUAUACUGUGAUAAAUUUUAUAGGAAAAAGUGUUAUACAAAAUGAUAAAAAAAAGAAUAUGUAUAGACAAACCUAAUAUUUGGCAAAUCCCAAAAACAAUGGUGUAAGACCCGAUUAGUGGUCAGGCUUCUGUUGUAUGAAAGUUUGAAUAUAAUAUUGUAAAAUCUUUAUUAAUGGUCAGGCUUCUAUAAAUGAAAGUUUGAGUAUAAUAUUGUAAGAUCGGAUUAGUGGUCAGGCUUCUAUA